rnacentral:rRNA from 1 species
GACGAACGCGGCGGCGUGCCUAAUACAUGCAAGUAGAACGCUGAAGGAGGAGCUUGCUUCUCUGGAUGAGUUGCGAACGGGUGAGUAACGCGUAGGUAACCUGCCUGGUAGCGGGGGAUAACUAUUGGAAACGAUAGCUAAUACCGCAUAACAGUAGAUGUUGCAUGACAUUUGCUUAAAAGGUGCAAUUGCAUCACUACCAGAUGGACCUGCGUUGUAUUAGCUAGUUGGUGGGGUAACGGCUCACCAAGGCGACGAUACAUAGCCGACCUGAGAGGGUGAUCGGCCACACUGGGACUGAGACACGGCCCAGACUCCUACGGGAGGCAGCAGUAGGGAAUCUUCGGCAAUGGACGGAAGUCUGACCGAGCAACGCCGCGUGAGUGAAGAAGGUUUUCGGAUCGUAAAGCUCUGUUGUAAGAGAAGAAACGAGUGUGAGAAGUGGAAAGUC